rnacentral:rRNA from 1 species
AUUGAACGCUGGCGGCAGGCCUAACACAUGCAAGUCGAGCGGAGCGGCGGACGGGUGAGUAAUGCCUAGGCAUCUGCCUGGUCGUGGGGGAUAACGUCCAGAAACUGGCGCUAAUACCGCAUACUAUCAGCUGAUCCUAGGUCGGAUUAGCUAGUUGGUGGGGUAAAGGCCUACCAGGGCAACGAUCCGUAACUGGUCUGAGAGGAUGAUCAGUCACCCGGGAACUGAGACAAGGCCCAGACUCCAACGGGAGGAGGCAGUGGGGAAUAUUGGACAAGGGGCGAAGGCCUGAUCAGGACCGGCCGCGGAUGUGAAGAAGUUCUGCGGAUUGUAAAGCUAUUUAAGUUGGGAGGCGGUACCAACAGAAUAAGCACCGGCUAACUUCGUGCCAGCAGCCGCGGUAAUUC